UUCUAGGACUUUAUAGAGCAGAGGUUUGCAGCCUGUGACACUCAGCUCAUGGAGACCUAGGUGG
rnacentral:pre_miRNA from 1 species